rnacentral:misc_RNA from 1 species
GCAGAGUAUCAACUCUCCAAACCAUUUGUGAACGUACUGAACCAGUUGCUUCGGCGGACGGCUCUCGGGAGCUGACCGCCGGAAGGAACGCAAACUCUUGUUAUUUUGGCAUCUCUGAGUAGCUAUAAAUAAGUUA